AUAAAUUAAACCAAGGAAAUAAAACUAGAAUCUAACGUAAGGUUAGAUCCGAUAAAAAGUUGCACAAUAGUUUCCGGUGUAGAAACUAUUAUGCGAAAAAUAUCUAAAUGCUAAAAGGGGAAAGGUAAAUUGCAAGGGAAAAAGAAUGUAGAACUUGCAAAAGAAAUAAAUAAAAUAAACGAUGUUAAGUUGCUGGAAAAGAAAAAAUAAGCAAAAGCGUGAAAAGAAAAUUGGCAAAGCUUCGGCAAUAUGAGCGUGGAAAAACCGAGGAACCCUUUUAGGUUUUAGAGAUAGCUAUUUAUAUUGGUGCUGGUAACUGCUUUCCGUUUCUCAAGUUCUUCAACGUGGCUAAAUGCACGGCGUGGAUAUAGGACACAAACUCCUCAACGUCUCU
rnacentral:lncRNA from 1 species